AUCCAUUGGAAACGUCUUGGUAGCUCUGUGGUAGUAUUUUUGGAUUUUCGCUUUGCGGUUCUGUAACCACAUGGGGGUUGGCGUCUACUUUUAGCUCGAUUACCACCUUAAGAGCUUUUUGUGUGGAUUGUUGGUACGUCCAAUGACGACAUCCCGUACCUAAAAGUUAGGUGUAUUUACGUCACGUUAGUCGUGAACGUACCCUCUUCCGUGUGUUUUCUCUCUCUCUACGACUGAUAUCUUGCCGACCAACGAUACCUGGAUCACCGGUUACAUUCCGAGUCGACGUGCUAUCCUGCAACUGUCCGUUUAGUGUAGCGGAGUAACCACUACAACCAGCAAAGGAAGUAGAUGUCCGGUAGCCAGUCCUUACCUCCAGCUUGAUCGUCCUCACGGGCAAGGUCAGACCGUCUCUGUGUGUGUGUCCUAGUGUUGUCCUACAAUCUUAAUUAUAAUGAGGUUACGUUCCUCUAUUUAUUUAUAAAACAGUACUUACAUUUGACCUAUAAUUUUGUGUACCCAACGACUCGUUAAUUUAUGUUAUUAUUGUAAAUCUUUCCGGUUAACAUAACCACUACUAGCACUGUCACUUUUUGUCGCUAUAUGUAAACAAUACAUCUGUCAUACCUUGACACCCAACAAGUAAAAGUGUAAGGAGUACACCAAGGAGCACCCCAAAAUUUCCUUGUUGUAGAAUACCCGCUGUCAGGUGUGUUUUAGGGUACCCGUGUAAAGAAAAGGCCUUUUUAUUUACCGCCAGGUCCCUGUGCGUCAUUUACCUUUUUUUUGGUUUAUUUAUGAAAUUGGUUUAUAUAUAUAUUCAACAUCACUUGGUUGCGACCCAAACAAAAUUUCGCUGUACCGUCGUUCAUUUCCCUAACCUUCUUCCUUCCUCUUUGCACUUAAUUUUAAUUUUAAUGGCCGGAUUAUUCCAUUUGUGAAUACUAGGAUUUAUUUAUGAAUUAUUAAAAUUUACCCAAACGUAA